GGACACCUCUCAUUUUGUCACUCCUUCACGAUAGUUGACACAGGGCUGAUCCAGCUUCCAGCCGAGGGCAGGGCUGUGAUUAACGAGCUGUUUCUCGCUGUUUCUCCAGCAGCAUUGGCUCAGAAAGCAAAGGUGACUGCAGCUGAAUCCACAAUGGGCAGCAGAGCCAAACCACGAACAAUUUCCUACAGGAACAUUUCUCAGGAAAGAAUGGAGAGCUGCAAGGAGCUCAGAACCAUCUGGUGCAGGAAACGUGGCAAUUUCUGACAAAAAUGCCCUGGGACAAACUGGUGCCAUUGGGUCCCUCCAAAGUCCGCUGGUGAGCUGGUGGUGCCAGUGCCUCUGUGG
rnacentral:lncRNA from 1 species